UACGGAAGGCAGCAGUGGGGAAUAUUGCACAAUGGGCGCAAGCCUGAUGCAGCCAUGCCGCGUGUAUGAAGAAGGCCUUCGGGUUGUAAAGUACUUUCAGUCGUGAGGAAGGUGUUAAGGUUAAUAACCUUAGCAAUUGACGUUAGCGACAGAAGAAGCACCGGCUAACUCCGUGCCAGCAGCCGCGGUAAUACGGAGGGUGCGAGCGUUAAUCGGAAUUACUGGGCGUAAAGGGCACGCAGGCGGUUAAUUAAGUUGGAUGUGAAAUCCCCCGGGCUUAACCUGGGAAUGGCAUUCAAGACUGGUUAGCUAGAGUCUUGUAGAGGGGGUAGAAUUCCAUGUGUAGCGGUGAAAUGCGUAGAGAUGUGGAGGAAUACUGGUGGCGAAGGCGGCCCCCUGGACAAAGACUGACGCUCAUGUGCGAAAGCGUGGGGAGCAAACAGGGAUUAGAUACC
rnacentral:rRNA from 1 species